rnacentral:rRNA from 1 species
AUGGCCGACGACCACUACAACUCCUCCGCGGCGGCGGCCGCGGCGGUGGGGUGCUCGGUGAUCCCGAUCGACAACAAGCUGCAGGGCAUCUUCUCGCAGCUGGGGAGCAGCUCGACGAUCGACCUGCCGCAUGUCGCCGUCGUGGGCAGCCAGAGCAAUGGCAAGUCCAGCAUCCUCAAGGCGCUCCUCGGCCGCGACUUUCUCCCGCGCGGCUCCGACAUGUGCACGCGCCGACCGCUCGUGCUCCAGCUCGUGCACCAGGCGCGCCGCCCCGCUGACGCAGAGGCCGACGAGUGGGGCGAGUUCCUGCACCACCCUGGCCGCCGCUACUACGACUUCCGCGAAAUCCGACGCGAGAUCCAGGCAGAAACGGGCAGGGAGGCUGGCGGUAACAAGGGUGUGUCAGAUAGGCAGAUACGUUUGAAGAUCCAUUCACCAAAUGUUCUCAACAUCACUUUGGUCGAUCUGCCUGGAGUUACUAAGGUGCCAGCUGUGGCACCAACUGACAUUGAGGCCAGAAUAAGGACUAUGAUAUUUUCAUAUAUGAAGCACAAAGCAUGCAUCAUAUUGGCUGUUUUGCCAGCAAAUGCAGAUUUAGCGAACUCUGGUGCUCUUCAAAUAGCUCGGACAGCUGAUCCUGAUGGUUCUCGAACAAUUGGUGUUACCACAAAGUUGGACAUAAUGGACAGAGGCACUGAUGCCUGUAAUUUUUUGCUGGAAACUGUGAUCCCAUUACGACUUCGUUAUGUUGGCAUCGUAAACCGCAGCCAGCAGGAUAUCAACACUGAUAUUAGUGCCAAGGAGGUUCUGGCGCGAGAAGAAAAUUUCUUCCGUACUCAGUCGGCAUACAGUGGUCUCACUAAGUACUGUGGGAUACCACGGUUAGCAAAGAAGCUAAACCAGAUCUUGGUCCAACAUAUCAGAACUAUUCUGCCUGGACUGAAGUCACACAUAAGUUCUCAAUUGGCAGCUAUUACCAAGGAGCAUGCCUUUUAUGGUGACCCAAUUGAAGCCAAGGCUGGGCAAGCUGCUAAGUUUUUGAACAUUCUAGCUAAAUUUUGUGAUGCUUUUUCCUCUAUGGUUGAAGGGAAAAAUGAAGAUAUAUCAACAAUCGAGCUUUCUGGUGGAGCACACAUUCACUAUAUUUUUCAAUCUAUCUUCGUCAAAAGCUUAGAGGGUGUUGACCCUUGUGAGGAUGUCACUGAUGAAGACACCCGCAUGGCUAUAAAAAAUGCAACUGGUCCUAGGAGUGCUUUGUUUGUUCCUGAGGUGCCGUUUGAAGUCCUUGUACACAGGCAAAUCAGAUUGCUUGAUCCAAGUCUUCAGUGUGCGGAUUUCAUAUGUGAGGGACUGGUUAAGAUGAUCCAACUUUGCCUUUGCAACGAGCUGCAGCAGUUUCCUACACUCAGAAGGAGCAUGGAUGAAGUAAUUGUGAAGUUUAUACUGGAUGGGCUUAAGCCAGCACAAGAUAUGAUAGCACACAUUAUUGAGAUGGAGGCUGAUUACAUAAACACAUCUCAUCCAAGUUUCAUCGGUGGCAGCAAGGCUAUAGUGCAAGCACAUCUGCAAGUUAGAACCGCCAGAUUGCCUGCAAUGGUGGUUAGGAGGGAUGGAGAUGCCGAUGGGCCACAGGAUUCUGAAAGAACCCGAAAAUCACACGCAUUAUUGGGUAGAACUACUGGUGUAAAUGGAAUUAUCACCGAACAGAUCCAGGGGGUACGCCCUGCUGCUGGCGCAGAGAGACCAGGAUCUUCAGGUAGUGGAAGCACUUCUUUUUGGGGCUCAAUAUUCACCUCAAGCGAGGACCGUAAGCAUUCUUCAGCUAGAGAUAGCUCAGUGAACAAAUCUUAUGCUUCAGCUACUCCCUACCUGGAACAUUCUUUCUCUUCAAUACAGUUAAAAGAGAAACAGCUGCCGCUAGUCCCUUCAGAAAGCCACUCUGAGCAGGAAGACCUUGAAAUAACAUUCACAAAAUUGCUGCUGCAGUCAUACUACAAUAUAGUCAAGAAAAACGUCGAGGAUUUCAUACCAAAAGCGAUUAUACGUUUUCUGGUAUGA